rfam:TPA: Bos taurus chromosome 5, whole genome shotgun sequence.
UCCUCAUUAGAAUACUGGUAAGUAUCCCUGCCUGUCAUGCAGGAGACUAGGGUUCGAUUCCCUGACAGGGAG